ensembl:lncRNA
GAAGAACUCUACAAGAAAAAUCUAUAUUUAUAAGCAAAACUUUUUUUGGCUGAUCUGACACUGGACUAGGAUGUAAUUUUAGUUAAUAUAUGAGUUUAAGGUGCGUGUAUAUUUUGGUAAUUGGAUUUUCCGUUCUGAAACGGGUAUUGAAAAAAAAACUAGUGGCUAUUUGAUUUUUGUUUUAAAAUACAAAAAAAUAAAAUUGAAAUACAAUGCUUUUUUCUUUUUCAUGAUCAAAAGGGGAUAUACGAAAUUUUAAAAAUGCUUUGAUUUUCAUUUUAUAUUUAGAAUAACAAAAAAAUAAAAUCAGUAAGACACAGAAACGAAAAAAGAUCCGUUUUUUCAUUUUCUGAGACCGGAAGUGGUCAUCAGCUAGCGUGGAGUCAAACGACAACAAGAUUCUCAGAGGGCGGAGCCAGAGAGCAGUGAUCGGUCAGACCAUAGAAGACAGCGAGCUAGCGUAUCUAGUCUGCUAUAUAUAUCUAUGGUCGGCACGUGUGGUAUCGUCUCUGGCUGCUGUUGACCUUGUUUUUGGAGUAAAACACGGUGGAAGCUGAAUUAGUGAGGAUGACUCCUGCUCCUGUCAUCUCUAAGCUCCUCACACAUCUUUACCUGCACAUGAGGAAAAUCACUCCUGUAGAAUGCAGAUGUUCAGAGGGAGAUGAUGCCACAUCUGGUCCAGCUGAUGGAAGGUCUUGAAGUUCUCUGACUGGCCUCGACUGAAGAUGGUCGUCUCACUGGAUUUAAGGUUCAGAUGCUCAGUAACAAACUCCACCAAUGUGCCAACAGGGAAGCUUUAGGUUUAUUACAUGUUGCUAUGAAGGUAUCGCUGUUUUUCUUUGUGAAUGCAAUGUGCUCCAACUGAAAGUUGAAUUACAACUUAGAAGUAAAUCCUUCCAUCUGAAAGGAUCUAGUUGGGUUAAUAACCCCAUAACAUUCUAAUUUUUAAAUAAUAGAAAUAGAAUCUCUGUAUUGAUUCAGGUAAAAACUGAACUUCACAGCAUGUUGGAGCAAAACAACCAGAUGAAAACUGUGAUGGUGUUGGAUUGUCAGACCGUAAUGUUGCAGCUCAAAGCAGCUUUUCUAGCUCAGUUCAUUCUGACAUUCAGCUAUGAAUCAACACAGCAGAUGGUGAUCCAUGCUGUGGAAGUCUCACAUCUCCUGAUUUAAUGGAGCUGCUUUGCACUUUUUACACUGUUUAUUCACCAACACUUUAUUUAAUAAAAGUCCCAUCUAGUUUUUAUGAGGAAUGUGAUGUUUUAAUUUCUCUGUGAAUAACUGCAGUCUAAUGCAACAGCUGGAGUUGUAACAUCUGUCCUGAUAUUGAUCAUGAAGUAUUGAUCAGAAUACUUAUGGUCAGCAGUCAUCCCUGAAGUUUUACAUUAAAAUCUUUACUUGUGUUGUAAACUUUGGUAAGAAGCAGAAACGUUAGCGUUGCCAUGGAUACAUGAGUGUUAAAUUCUGUCCAUGUUUCCAUUUUGGGAACUGCAGUCCAGCAGAUGAGUUUGUUUUUACUUACAGCUACCAUUCAGUCUGAGAUAUUAAGAAUAAAUAAAUGUGCAUAAUGUGGAAAUGAACAGAUUUUAUUUUUAUUUAUUCCUACAGCAAAUAUUAUCUGAAAGUCGGGUUAUUGUUGUUUAUCAGCACAAUACAAAAAGAUUUAUAUUAGAAAUAUUCCAGUUAAGGCUCUAGAAUGUCAUGAUUUAUGUAAAUUUACCUCAAUAAUAUGAAUGUUCAGGUUAAGAUUGUGCAGUGAUAUUUAUUCUGUAAGUUUAGCUGAUUGAAGUUUAUGAUGCUGCACUACAAUAUUAUUUAUUAUUUAAAUUUACAUCAUUAUUAUAAUAUUUAGGGCCAGACCCUACAGUAUUGAGAUUAAGAAAUCAAAUAAUCUAUAAAAUGUAAAUACACUGAACUCAUUUGGAUAUAUUUAAGUGAGACUCUACAAUAUUAUUUGACACAAAUCUAUCUAAAUCAGAAUUUUAAUCAUUUUUACUCCAAACAUUUACUGGACUGAUUUAAACAUUAAAAUCACUCCUUUCUAAUCCUCUGCUGUACGUUCAAACCUGAGGCCUUAAAUAGAAACACACAAGUAUCUGUUUGAAGGAACUUCUGCAGUCCUGGUUCCAGAACAUGAUGAUAGAAUUAUAGACAAACUUUAACAAAAGCUGCCUGAGAGUUUACAGGUUUUUAUGUUAGAUUUCUUCAGUAAUUUAAUGAGUUAUCAGCAAAAAUCAAGUGUUCAUUUGAUGAACUUCAUUUCUUAAAACAUCCAGAAUUGGAGCUCAUAUCUUUGGCAGCUGUAAAGUUUCUGCUCCUUCAAAGUUCACAACACAAUGAAUUAAUUCCUAAAACACUCUCAAUGCUGGAGAGCAUUUGAUGCUGAAGCAGUGACCAGUUUUUCUGUUUCUUCUCUGGAGAUGCACAAUGAGGGACGUCUGCAGUGACUGAGAAAGAGUCUCACCACAUCCUGACGUGAGGAAAAAGACUUUAUUGAAGACUACAAUGAGAAAAACUAUCAGACAGCAGACGGCUGCAUUCAAGGCCGCUGCACUCCUCCUCUGUUGUUUCCUGGAUUGUACUCAGCUGCAUGCCUUCGUCCACCCGGCCUCCGUUGACUCGUCCCGCCUGCCGUCUCUGGAGCUGAAGCUGGAUUGGAACAGACCAAAGUACAGUCCAAUCACGAUGCCAGCUGCCUCUCAAAAGGCUCCUUCAUCUGGCAGGUGGCAGCACUUCUUCUGAGGAGAAGCUGAGCUGGCCCGGCAGAACUUUGGAGAUGUGUUCCAGUGGUUGGUGGAUGUGUGGGGAGAUAGAGAGGGACCUUUGAAUUGUUCAGAAAGGAAAACAGGG